rnacentral:misc_RNA from 1 species
GCUUGUGCUAAGUUUGCUCUGAGAGGAUUGUCGCAAUGCUUAGCAAAGGAGUACCAAGCUUCUGGUGUCCAUGUUGCCCAUGUAGUCAUUGACGGUGCUAUGAGUGCUACAAGAUCGAGCAGGGAUGAUGACUCGAUGAAUCCGGAUGCGAUAGCGCUGAUAUACUGGCAGCUUCAUGUUCAGGACAAACGUGCCUGGGCACAGGAGAUUGAUGUCAGGUGCUUGAACAACCA